rnacentral:rRNA from 1 species
UACAGAGGGGGCAAGCGUUGUUCGGAAUUACUGGGCGUAAAGGGCUCGUAGGCGGCCAACUAAGUCAGACGUGAAAUCCCUCGGCUUAACCGGGGAACUGCAUCUGAUACUGGAUGGCUUGAGUUUGGGAGAGGGACGCGGAAUUCCAGGUGUAGCGGUGAAAUGCGUAGAGAUCCGGAGGAACACCAGCGGCGAAGGCGGCAUCCUGGACUGGUCCUGACACUCAUGAGCGAAAGCGUGGGGAGCGAUCCGG